rnacentral:rRNA from 1 species
UUCCGGUUGAUCCUGCCGGACCCGACUGCUAUCAGAGUGGGACUAAGCCAUGCGAGUCAACGCCGCAAGGCGUGGCAUACGGCUCAGUAACACGUAGUCAACAUGCCCAAGGGACGUGGAUAACCUCGGGAAACUGAGGAUAAACCGCGAUAGGCCAAGAUUUCUGGAAUGGAUCAUGGCUGAAAUCUACAUGGCCCUUGGAUUGGACUGCGGCCGAUCAGGCUGUUGGUGAGGUAAUGGCCCACCAAACCUAUAACCGGUACGGGCUUUGAGAGAAGGAGCCCGGAGAUGGGCACUGAGACAAGGGCCCAGGCCCUAUGGGGCGCAGCAGGCGCGAAAACUCUGCAAUAGGCGAAAGCUUGACAGGGUUACUCUGAGUGAUGUCCGCUAAGGGCAUCUUUUGGCACCUCUAAAAAUGGUGCAGAAUAAGGGGUGGGCAAGUCUGGUGUCAGCCGCCGCGGUAAUACCAGCACCCCGAGUGGUCGGGACGAUUAUUGGGCCUAAAGCAUCCGUAGCCGGUCUUGCAAGUCUUCCGUUAAAUCCAGCUGCUUAACGGAUGGGCUGCGGAAGAUACUACAAGACUAAGAGGC